rnacentral:misc_RNA from 1 species
ACGCAGCAGGCACGGCACAGAAAGAGUUGCUCCUCGUCCAACACCGGAUCACAUCUUCCAUCGUGCGUUUUUGUCGGCCGGUUUGGGGCCGCUUAUUCCGUCCAUCUCUCCUCCUCGUUUCCGCGCAGCUUUGCGUGUGCGCGGCACCAUGCAAGCAUCUGUCGCGAGCGAGAUCGUCAAGGCCGUCCAUAAGGCCCGCAACUGCGCCCUCUACUGCGACUACAAAACCGCCCUUCAGUACUACAGCAGCAUUCGAAAUGAGAUCAACUUGCACACCCGAAGCAUCGACGACGUUCUCUGUAGCCAGUGGAUGAGUCUGCUAGGGGAACUGGAGAGCGAGGCGCAGAUCAUCCGCGAUACGCAGGCGGAGUUGCAUUUGUUCAUUGACCCUAACGCUGCCAAGCGGCGCGAGCCGCCUGACUGCGAUGAGAAUCGCAGCAGUAGCAGCGCCGAGAAAGCUGUCGUGCCGAGGACAGGGGCCAAAAAGAAGCCACGAAUCGGAGCCUCGCUCGCGAACAGCGGCGGGUCCAACAUCAGCGUACAGAACGCGAAGCUCUACGGCGACAAGGACCGCUUCGGCCCGGCAGAGGGCCCGCAGAUCCCACCAGCUACGCGUCAGCCAGCGCGCAGCGCGGCCUCCUCCUACGCAGCGGUGUCGCCACCCUUCUCGAGCAGCGGGGUCGGCGUUGGUAGACCCGUGGCUGCGGCGCCCGGUGUUGGCUUCCGUCAAGGUACUGGCGCGUCGAGUGGUACGGGGGCCGCUGCAAGGGGGAGAGUGAAGGGUAAGAGUGCAGCGACCCGCUUUGCCGGCCGGGCUGGGGAGGAGGAACUUGUUCAGCUCAUCGAGGCCGACAUGCACGUCGGCAAGCUGCCGGUCACGUGGGAUGAUAUCGCGGGCCUCGAGGAGGCGAAGCGACUGCUGGAGGAAGCGGUGGUGUACCCGGUGCUCAUGCCCGAUUACUACCAAGGCAUCCGCCGGCCGUGGAAAGGCGUGCUCAUGUACGGUCCGCCGGGCACCGGCAAGACAAUGCUUGCCAAGGCGGUCGCCUCAGAGUGCAACACCACAUUCUUCAAUAUAUCCCCCGCGACGCUCACGAGCAAGUGGCGCGGCGAUAGCGAGAAGCUUAUCCGGGUGCUUUUCGAGAUGGCGCGCCACUACGCCCCGAGCACGAUCUUCAUCGACGAGAUCGACUCCCUGUGCGGGCAGCGAGGCGGCGGCAACGAGCACGAGGCCUCGCGACGGGCAAAGGGCACGCUGCUGGCGCAGAUGGACGGUGUCGGGGUGGACACCGACAAGAUCGUCAUGGUGCUCGGCGCGACGAAUCACCCGUGGGACAUCGAUGAAGCGAUGCGCCGCCGCCUUGAAAAGCGCAUCUACAUACCCCUGCCCGAUGCGGCGGACCGCGUGGAGCUGUUCAAGAUCAACACAAAGUCUAUCAAGCUGGGCAAUGAUGUCGACUUUGUGAAGCUGUCCCAAUUGCUAGAGGGUCGCCACUACAGCGGCGCCGACAUCACGAACCUGGUGCGAGAUGCGGCUAUGAUGACUAUGCGGCGCUUCAUGAAGGAGGCGGACAAGACAACGUUGAAGGAAAACGCGGCGGAGAUUGGCCGGCAGGUGGCGGAGCAGCCCAUCAAUAUGAGUGACUUUCUGGCCGCCAUGAAGAAGGUCCCGAGCAGCAUCAACGCCGACAACAUCAAGAAGUUCGAAGCGUGGAAGAAGGAAUUUGAACUGAACAUUUAGAAGCCAGGGCGGUAAACGUAGGUGCACGCUUUCUUCUGCGGUCGUUUUGGUUGUGGCUCAGUGUCGCCUCACUCAUCUGCUCAUGUCCUCCCUCCCUCCUUCCCUUCCCUCCCCUUCCCACGCAGAUGCCGAUGAGAGACACGGUCGAAGGUGUUGAAACGCGUCCUGCCGGGACUAGGGUGGAGGCGAAAUGGGCGAGGAGGGAGGGGGAGGGCUAACGGGGACUGCAGGUGUCAUGGCGGACUGGUAGAGGUGCAGAUGGGUGGAUGUGUAUGUGUGCCUUUGCUUGGCAUUCCUCCACCCUUCAAUCGCUCUUCUCCCCCCCUAGCCGUCUGUCAACUUGCGUGAUUCCUUGUCCUAUGUAUGGUGCUUUUUUUUUACCUCUGUUUUCCUGUGGCGCGUGCGCGUUUACCGGGCUAGAAGUUGAGUCUGUGUUUUCUACAUGUGCGCGCUUGUGGGUUCGAGGCGCACACAGCGAAAGAGGCAAGGAGCGCGCACUGGGGCGAAGGGUGCGGCCGCAGCGUGUGCUGUCUGGUGCUUCGACUUGCGGCUUCUCGCAAAUACUGCGUGCGUGUGCGUGGUGCCUGCACCUCUUUCCAUCUCGCGCAGCAAGGAUCUGCCGUGGCUUGCGUUCUGCGCACGUGCCGUGCAUGAGCUUUAUGAGGAAG